GCCAACAUAGUUUUCUCCCGUUUGUGAGCGUUUUGGUGGCCCCCCAAUGCUUGUGAGCUGUGGAAUUCGCGAUGGCAGAACUUGCAGGUGAAGUAUUUUCUGCCGAGCCUCAGAUUCAGCCACUCCCCUCGUAGAUAUUUUUGUUGCUUCCCUUCUUCCAUUCUCAACCAAUUAACCUUCUUCUCUUGAUCAAUGGGAGUUGUGAUGGGUUUUUCUCCAGAUCCAUUCGCUUUUAAAUGAGCGAAAUUUUUGACGUCAAUUCAAGCUGACAACUGACUCUUCCGUUGCCUGCCAUCACCCUUCCCGAUUUAAUUAAAAUGUCAAUUUUAUAGGAAAUUGAGUGUUGAUAAUUGUUUUUUUGCUUGACUUGCUUUAUUUUGUAAACUGUGAUACUUGUCUGUAGUUUGGUGAAAUUUACAAAAAUAUUUAAGUUGAAUUACAAAGAGUGGUCUGUAGAUCAUGUUGAUACGAGUUUUUCGGCGCAAAUAGAUCGUGAAUCAAAGUUCAAACGAGAGAGAUAUGACUAAAACGAGAAAGUCACGUACAAUAAUGAAUAAUUAUUGCGCCGAGCUGAAGAAGGAUUUUACACUGGACAUCGACGACCUGCGGGGCCAGCCGCCGAGGUGUCCGCUUUUGGUCUAUUUUCGAAUUUUUAUCUAUAUUUUCGAGUUUUAUAUUGUGUUUAUCCUCUGUGCCUAUAUAUAGAACAUUUUGUUGGCAUAUUAGACACC
rnacentral:lncRNA from 1 species